rnacentral:rRNA from 1 species
AGAUCACCGAAGUUAAGCAUCGUAGAGCCAGGUCAGUACUUAGAUGGGGGACCGCUUGGGAACACCUGGUACUGUAAGC